GGAAGUCUUUGCAGAGAGGAGCCUGAGCUUAGUCGUGGAGGGCAGCUGCAAAACUGGCGCGAUUCUGCUUGAAUGCAACCCGUGCAAACCCUCCUGUAGAUUAUAUCUGACUUUCCCCCAACCCAUUCCGAGUAUCCUGAGGAAACAGUUGGCUGAGAUACUGCUAGGGAAAUGGAAGGCUGGAGACAGCAGGAAGCCCCCUGCCUGAGCGUCACUUCUGAGGUGAGUCUGGAGAAACCUGCUGCGAACUGGAUAAAUAUUCGAAAUGGAAACUGACAGUUCAGCAGAUACGAAUAAGAAGACUGUUCCCAUGAUGCUCAAAACUGCCAGAAUAAUGAUAAUGACAAUGAGGCAUAUCCACAUGGCAAUAGAGGGCUCUCUGUAGCCUAUGUCUGCAAGGAGAUGAACAAAAGAAAAGCCAAUCAUCCAACACUCAAUUGGAGAUUGAGAGCCAGUGUUAAUUUUUUUCCUAUAGCAUUAACAUUAACAUCUGUGAUAAGACUUAAAUCCACAACAAAACUCUUCAGCACAAUCAUGUACAUUGAUGGCACUGUUUACAUUAUAACAAGAGAUUUAUUUUCAGCAACUUGGGAAAAUCUGAAAAGUCCUAGAAUUGAGAGUCUACAGUAUGUGGACUUUGUAGAUCCACAAUAUGUGGUCUUGACUGCCCAUUUGCCUCAUCACACUAUACCACAUUUUAGGCACCAUCUGCUGGGAAGUUCACCUGAAGUCCAUGGCAAUGAAUGUGAGUUGUGGUCUCUUUGUAAUGAGUAACAGAACUUUCUGAUGCAAUGUGUCAU